rnacentral:misc_RNA from 1 species
AGAUGUGUAUAAGGGCCGGGUGAGUCAUCGAAUCUUUGAACGCACAUUGCGCCCUGUGGCAUUCCGCAGGGCAUGCCUGUUCGAGCGUCAGUACAACACUCAAGCCUAGCUCUUGGUCUUGGGCCUCGCCGGAGACGGCGGGCCUUAAAAUCAGUGGCGGCGCCUCUCGGGCCCUAAGCGUAGUAAUACUCCUCGCUACAGGGACCUGGUGGACGCUGGCCAGCAACCCCCAACUUUCUAAGUUUGACCUCGGAUCAGGUAGGGAUACCCGCUGAACUUAAGCAUAUCAAUAAGCGGAGG